rnacentral:lncRNA from 1 species
AGAUUGUUGCACUUGGUAUUGUGUUGAAUGUGAUCGGAAGUCCCAUCGGAUCAUUGCCCUCACCGUCUUUGCCGACGACAAACUCUCUGGCCCAAUCCCACCCUUUGUGGGUGACCUCCCGUUCCUCGAAAACCUCAUGUUCCACAAGCUCCCAAAUCUCAUUGGCCCCAUCCCACCUACCAUUGCAAAACUCAACAACCUCAAAUACCUUGACCUAAGCUGGAACGGUCUCUCUGGUCCUGUCCCCAGCUUCCUCGGCUCCCUUUCCAAUCUCGAUGUUCUCGACCUCUCCUUCAACCGUUUCACUGGCUCCAUCCCUAGCUCU